UCUAGUUGUUGAGUUAGACCAACCCACUGAAGCUAAGCAGGGUUGAGCCUGGCCAGUACCUGGAUGGGAGACCUCCUGGGGAAAACUAAGGUUGCUACUGGAA
rnacentral:rRNA from 1 species